GAGGAAUAUUGCGCAAUGGAGGCAACUCUGACGCAGCAACGCCGCGUGGGUGAAGAAGGCCCUCGGGUUGUAAAGCCCUGUCAGGUGGGAAGAACCCUCUGUAGUUGAAUAGACUACAGAACUGACGGUACCACCAAAGGAAGCACCGGCUAACUCCGUGCCAGCAGCCGCGGUAAGACGGAGGGUGCAAGCGUUGUUCGGAAUCACUGGGCGUAAAGCGCGUGUAGGCGGCCUGACAAGUCGAAUGUGAAAGCCCGGGGCUCAACUUCGGAAGCGCAUUCGAAACUGUUAGGCUUGAGUACGGGAGAGGGAAGUGGAAUUCCUGGUGUAGAGGUGAAAUUCGUAGAUAUCAGGAGGAACACCGGUGGCGAAGGCGGCUUCCUGGACCGAUACUGACGCUGAGACGCGAAAGCGUGGGGAGCAAAC
rnacentral:rRNA from 1 species